GUCUACAGCUAUGCCACUCUGAACAUGCUGGAUCCCGUCUGAUCUCAGAAGCUAAGCAGGGUCGGGCCUGGUUAGUACUUGGAUGGGAGACUACCUAGGAAGACCAGGUGCUGUAGGCA
rnacentral:rRNA from 1 species